AUUUAAUCUUUAGAUAAAGAAGAUACCAAGGAUAACGUUGAAACAAGAAAAGUGGAAGCCCCGAGUAGGAAGCCAGCAACGCCGACAUAUUUAUUCUGGAGUGAAUAGGUACAAAUUGAAGUUAAAAUUACAUUUCUCAACAAGACUUUGUUCCUGGUUAUUCCCAAGUAAAAAGAACUCUGGGGUGUCAAGUGCUGGAUCAAACCUAGAUUAUAACCGCGAAUACAGUGCUAUUAACAUGAGCCACGAAGAACUGAGUAAUAUUAGCAAAAUGGAUUGAACAAUUUAAGAAUCUAAUAUGACGAGAUUUUGAAGCCGAAAAAAAGGAUUGCGUUGAAGUGAGUAAAAAGGAACAGAAUAAAAUCGAUUUCGAAGAUGCCAAGAAGAAGGAGUAAGAAGUUAACAAGUUGGAUUUUAAAAAAGACAACUACUAUAUCAAGAACAGCUACAUACACCACCAAAAGUUGGUCCACAAUAUCCAAUAUCCAAAACAUCAGAAUAAUCAAGAACCAACCAGUCGUAAGUUCACGAUAAAAUUUGCGAAGCUUAAAGCAUGAUGAGGAUGUCCUAAAUUUGGAGACGAAGAAGAGGAAUGUUUUGAAGGGAGCACAGAUGAACAGAAUAAAAUCGACCUCGAAGAUAAAAACCACUACUUCAAGGACGGAGCUACACCACCAGCUGUUGUUUCAAAAUAUCCAGGAAAUCAGAAUCAUUAACAAACACCCAGUCUGAUUUCACUUCCUGAAGAAAACCACUACAUAUCUAGGAUGAUUUGGAUCCUUAUGACCUCAGUGCUAGAUAAAAACUGCUAACACAUAGAAGUCCUCAUUAUGAGAACGAGAGUGGAGUGCGUCAGUCGCAGAGAGAAAAAAACUAAACGAGAGAACCAACUUCGACGGUUGCUCUCUUUUUGCCUACAAGCUGCGAUUUGCACAUAAACUUGCAUAUGUAUUAACUCCAUAUAAAAAAAAUGUGGGGAACGAAUACUUAUGCAAGAAGAUGUGCAUACUCCCCACAUUAAAAAACAAUGGCGUCCACCUUCGAAAAAUGGCGGAUGCCAUGCUGUUCAGACGUGUUCAAAGAAAAUUCAAAAUUGUGGAUGAUCAAUUUUUUGGUAUUAUCAUUGUGUUACUUUGGGAGUAAUAUCAUUCGAAUAUGAAGUGAAAUUAAUUACUCUUGUUAGGUGCCAGAACAAUGAAGAUUUAGAAACAAUUGUAAAUUACGGUGAAGAUUUAGAAACAAUUGUAAAUUACGCAUUUAGAGAAAUAUUAGUUAGUUAUUUGAAGCCAGUUUUAAUUAUUAAGUAAGUAAAAUAAAUAAGGUGGUGCAACGGUGCAAUGAGAAUUAGGACCUAGAAACAUAAAACUCUGAAAGCACUACAACUAUUAUUUGUUUUAUUAUUAGCUGCGUUUAUGCGUUUAAUUUUCGCUCAGACCGUUUAAAAAUGAAAACAAUGUUAAAAUUAUGUAAAAUUUUAAUAUGGCAACAUAAUCUAUUUGAAUUAUUGCAUUGUUUCAAUUCCAAUAUUCUUUUG